AUACGUAGGGAGCGAGCGUUGUCCGGAAUUACUGGGCGUAAAGGGCGCGUAGGCGGCGCUUCAAGUCGUCUGUCAAAUGGGAGGGCUUAACCCUUUUUCGCAGACGAAACUGGAGAGCUUGAGAAGCAGAGAGGCAAACAGAAUUCCUGGUGUAGCGGUGAAAUGCGUAGAUAUCAGGAAGAAUACCAGUGGCGAAGGCGGUUUGCUGGCUGCAUACUGACGCUGAAGCGCGAAAGCCAGGGGAGCAAACGGGAUUAGAUACCCCGGUAGUCCUGGCAGUAAACGAUGUAUGCUGGUGUGAGACUAGCGAUAGUUUCGUGCCGAAGUUAACGCGAUAAGCAUACCGCCUGGGGAGUACGGUCGCAAGAUUGAAACUCAAAGGAAUUGACGGGG
rnacentral:rRNA from 1 species